UCGUUCCUUUUUCCUAUGCAUAUACUUCUUUGAUAGGUCGAGUUUAAAGAGGCAUAAGGCAUGGGAAAAUGGGGCGA
rfam:Ophiophagus hannah scaffold6815.1, whole genome shotgun sequence.